rnacentral:rRNA from 1 species
GGUGAACGCUGGCGGCGUGCUUAAGACAUGCAAGUCGAACGGGCUCUUCGGAGCCAGUGGCGCACGGGUGAGUAACGCGUAACUGACCUACCCCAAAGUCGCGGAUAACGAUUCGAAAGAAUCGCUAAUACGUGAUGUGCUGUCAGAUCCUGUUCUGCCAGUAAAGAUUUAUUGCUUUGGGAUGGGGUUGCGUUCCAUCAGCUAGUUGGUGGGGUAAAGGCCCACUAAGGCGACGACGGAUCGCCGGCCUGAGAGGGUGGCCGGCCACAGGGGCACUGAGACACGGGUCCCACUCCUACGGGAGGCAGCAGUUAGAAAUCUUCCACAAUGGGCGAAAGCCUGAUGGAGCGACGCCGCGUGAGGGAUGACGGUCCUCGGAUCGUAAACCUCUGAAUCAGGGACGAAAGACGCGAAAGCGGGAUGACGGUACCUGAGUAAUAGCACCGGCUAACUCCGUG